UACAGAGGUCUCAAGCGUUGUUCGGAAUUACUGGGCGUAAAGCGUAUGCAGGCGGAUCGUUAAGUCGGGGGUGAAAUCCCGAGGCUCAACCUCGGAACUGCCUUCGAUACUGGCGAUCUUGAGUCCGGGAGAGGUGAGUGGAACUCCGAGUGUAGAGGUGAAAUUCGUAGAUAUCGGAAGAACACCAGUGGCGAAGGCGGGCUCACUGGCCCGGUACUGACGCUG
rnacentral:rRNA from 1 species